rnacentral:misc_RNA from 1 species
UAAUAAGUGUUCUAUGGCACUUCUUAAAUCCAUACCCACCUUGUGUGCAAUGUUAUCUCUCAGCGUCGGUUCAGGUUCGCCUGGCCCUGCUGAGGGAUUCUACAUCAACUCUUAAUUUAACAAAUUUGUCUGAACACUAUUUCGAAUAACUAAUUCAAAAUA